AAAGGGGGGAGGGGGGGAGUGUGUAAGGGUGUGUAAAUGGGGGGGGGUUGAGUGUGUAAACGGGUGGGAAUGGGGGGGUGGGGGGUGAAUGGGGGGUGAAUGGGGGGCAAAUGGGGGGUGUGAGUGUGUAAAGGUGUGUAAAUGGGGAGAGUGGGGGGGAAUGGGGGGUGAAUGGGGGGGGUGAGUGUGUAAAGGUGUGUAAAUGGGAGGGAUGGGGGAUGUGAGUGUGUAAGGGUGUGUAAAUGGGGGCGAAUGGGGGGUGAAUGGGGGUGUGAGUGUGUAAGGGGUGUAAAUGGAGGGAGUGGGGGGAAUGGGGGGUGUGAGUGCGUAAGGGUGUGUAAAUGGGGAGAGUGGGGGGGAAUGAGAGGUGAAUGGGGUUUGUGAGUGUGCAAGGGUGUGCAAAUGGGGGUGAAUGGGGGGUGAAUGGGGGGAUGAGUGUGUAAAGGUGUGUAAAUGGUGGGGGAUGGGGGGAAUUGGGGGUGAAUGGGGGUGUGAGUGUGUAAGGGUGUGUAAAUGGGGGGUGGGGGGGAGUGGGAUUGGGGGGGUGAGUGUGUAAGGGUGUGUGUGGGUGUGUGAGCUGUGUAAGGGGGUGAAUGGGUGUGCAUGGGUGUGAAUGGCUGAGUAAGGGGUGUAAGGGGGUUGGAAGGGGGUGUGUGGGUGUGUAUGGGUGUGUAAGGGGGUGUGUGGGUGGGUGUGUGGGUGUGCAUGGGUGUGUAAAGCUGUGAGUGGGUGUGUGUGGGUGUGUGUGGGUGUGUAUGGGUGUGUAUGGGUGUGUGUGGGUGUGUAUGGGUGUGUACGGUUGUGUAUGGGUUUGUAAAGGGGUGGAUGGGUGUGUAUGGGUGUGUAAGGUGUGUGUGGGUGAGUGUGGGUGUGUAAGGGUGUGUGGAGGUUCGUGUGGGCGUGUAUGGGUGUGUAAAGCUGUGUGUGGGUUUGUAAGGUGUGUAUGGGUGUGCAAGGGGGCGUAUGGGUGUGUAAGGAGGUGUAAGGGGGUGUAUGGGUGUGUAUGGGUGUGUGUGGGCGUGUGUGUGUGUGUAAGGGUGUGUGUGUAUGGGUGUGUAAAGCUGUAUGUGGGUGUGUGUGGGUGUGUAUGGGGGAGUAUGGGUGUGUGUGGGUGUGUAUGGGUGUGUGUGGGUGUGUAUGGGUGUAUAAGGGUGUGUAAGGUGUGUAUGGGUGUGUAAGGUGUGUGUGUGUGUGUGUAAGGUGUGUAAGGUGUGUAAGGUCGCCCCCCCCCCCCAAUUGGGUCAUUCGGUGCCGUCGGCACCGCUGCGGUUUUUUGUCUGUGCGGCUUUCACCGAUUCUGCCGCUUUUUGCCCCAGAAAAGAACUGCGCCUGAGGGGGGGGGGGGGGGGGGGGGGGCGGCACACGGCCCUAUAGAGCACCACACGGCCCCAUAGGUCUGCACACGGCCCCAUAGAUCUCCAUACGGCCCCAUAGAUCUGCAUACAGCCCCACAGAUCUCCAUAUGGCCCCAUAGAGCAGCACACGGCCACAUAGAUGUGCAUACAGCCCCAUAGAUCUGCACACGGCCCCAUAGAUUUGUAUACUGCCCCACAGAUCUGCACACAGCCCCAUAGACCUCCAUACAGCCCCACAGAUCUGCACACGGCCCCAUACAUCUCCAUACGGCCCCAUAGAUGUGCAUACAGCCCCACAGAUCUGCACACGGCCCCACAGAUCGGCGCACCGCCCCCCCCCCCCCCCCACGUGUUCCCCUCCCCCCACUGCUGCGCUCAGCGCUUUCAAUGGCCGCAUUGGGAGCAGCCGCAGCCCCCG
ensembl:lncRNA